rnacentral:rRNA from 1 species
AUACGGAGGGGGCUAGCGUUAAUCGGAAUUACUGGGCGUAAAGCGCGCGUAGGCGGCUAAGUAAGUCGGAUGUGAAAGCCCCGGGCUCAACCUGGGAAUUGCAUUCGAUACUGCUGAGCUAGAGUAUGGAAGAGGGAAGUGGAAUUCCGGGUGUAGCGGUGAAAUGCGUAGAUAUCGGAAGGAACACCAGUGGCGAAGGCGACUUCCUGGGCCAAUACUGACGCUGAGGUGCGAAAGCGUGGGGAGCAAACAGGAUUAGAAACCCCGGUAGUCC